UCUCCUCCGCCUCUCGAGCUCCUCCGCCUCCUCCAUCCCACAACGCCCCCUUCCCUUCCUGCCCGUUCUCCUCCUCUCUCUCGUCUCCACAGGCUCGGCCGCAGCAGGCCGCUCCAUCUCCUCCCCCGCGCUGCUCGUCCUUGUCGCUGGGAGGACCAAUGUUUCUACCAUCGCACCACCUGAAGCAGCACGAUGCAAGGGAUGGACGUCGGAGCUCCGCCACCACGCCCCUCCUCCGUUUACCUUGGGGCGCCCACUGGUGAGAAGGAAGAGCAUAGUGGCCUGCCCUUCUCCACCUCUUCUUCCAGAUGCUUAUGUUCAGAUUUCUUGUGGAAUGCCGCCUUUCAUUGAUGUGCAAUCCUUAAAGAAAUACAUGAGGGUGGUCAGGAAGUAUUUAAGCGUGUUGGUGCCUACUACAGAAAAUGGCAGCAUCAAAAAUGGUAUUUAGCCCUAAUGAUGCAUUUUUCUACUUCAUUCCCAUAGUAGAUAAAUUAUUUUUGAUUCAAUUGCAUUUGAUCUAUAACCCUCCGGCUAUUUUGAUUCAGGUAUAUUGUAGAGCAAGAAUAUCAAUAUCUCUGUUUCCAUGUUCAGUGAAUACAUGUGAACAAACUCGAACUGGGCCUGAAGAGGAAGUUUUUGCAUUGCUUGCACGGUAAAUUGGGCGAACUUCUGAGAUUAUUUGGGCAUUUUUUUACCUGUGAGCCUAUGUGCCCAUUCACUAGCCCUAUGCGCCCAUCCCUGAAGCUCCGGUUCAUCUAGGUCGACAGUAACUAUGGUAAAAGAAACCAACGAAUUGGUCUGCAAGGUUGGGAUUCACCAAUUGCCAAC